UGAGGAAUAUUGGUCAAUGGACGGAAGUCUGAACCAGCCAAGUAGCGUGCAGGAUGACGGCCCUAUGGGUUGUAAACUGCUUUUAUAUGGGGAUAAAGUGAGCCACGUGUGGCUUAUUGUAGGUACCAUAUGAAUAAGGACCGGCUAAUUCCGUGCCAGCAGCCGCGGUAAUACGGAAGGUCCGGGCGUUAUCCGGAUUUAUUGGGUUUAAAGGGAGCGUAGGCCGUCUGUUAAGCGUGUUGUGAAAUGUCGGGGCUCAACCUGGGCAUUGCAGCGCGAACUGGCAGACUUGAGUGCGCGCAACGUUGGCGGAAUUCGCCGUGUAGCGGUGAAAUGCUUAGAUAUGGCGAAGAACUCCGAUUGCGAAGGCAGCUGACGGGUGCGUAACUGACGCUCAUGCUCGAAAGUGCGGGUAUCGAACAGGAUUAGAUACCCUGGUAGU
rnacentral:rRNA from 1 species